UCAGGAUACCAUUUAGAAUUACAAUAGUGCAGUAUGGAAUAGUCAGCCCUCAGGAAUCCAAGUUCAGAGGGAGCUCAAAGGGUCCCAAAGCAUGGCUUACAAGAGAGGGCCAUAACUUAGAGCUAGGAGUAAGUGCAAAGUUAUUGGGAAACCAUAGCAAAUAGUGGUCAUACCCAGCCAUAGGUGCAGACUGGCACACCCUGACCAUUUGUUUGCUCAAACAAGUUAAGAGCAGACCUUAAAGGUCAGACCUGAGUCUGAAUGAUGAUUAGGACACCACCAGACCCAAGUCAGGCACAACAGAUAAAGGGGAAAGGGAAGUGGGAAUUGAUUUGAGUUAAGGUGUCCAAAGAACCUAGUUCAAAAAACCUAGUUCAAAGUCAUAGACAACAAGGUUGAGUGCUGCAAUGGCUGGAAAUACAACUCACACACAAAUGGGUAAAAAGGGAAGGGAUUCACAUAAGCAUAUUAAUGGCAAAAAAAACAUAACAGAAGAAAGCAUAAAAGACUAGGAAAUAAACACAUGGUGAAUGAAAGCAUAACAGACCAAGAGGUAAACACAUAGUGAAGAGGGCAUUAUUUAACUAGGAACAUACCUGUUGCAAAGUAAAAAAUAGCAGAAUAGCAGAGUAAACAAACAGCAAGAAAUCAACAGGAGCAGACUUAAGUUUGCAGCAGAACACUGAGAGUUCAGAGAGAACUUAAGAAUAUUGGAGAAGGUAAGAGGGAUAAAGGAGAGUAGAAUACAGAGUGCUCAAUACUAUAAGUAAGAAAAGCAAUUUGAUUGUGAGAGAGUUCAGUGCAGAAAAGUUGUGAUUUCGAAUGCAGAAGUAUGUGUAGAUGUUUGAAAGUAUUGAAUUGGAAGUGUGUUAAAAGUGCAGAAGGGCAGUCCCUUUUAUAGUGCAGGGAAACAAAUAAGAAAGGUAAGGAAAUAUCAUUGAAAUCAUCAUCCCUUUAGUUAAGGGAUUCUGAUUCCAACGGGUAAAAACCAAUUAAGGAGAGAAAAUUUUGAUUAAACCUUUCAAAGUAGCAUAAAAGGGGUAAAUACACACAACUUAUUUAAGGAAAGCAAUCAAUAGUACACGGUUUGUGCCAAAAUAAGGAAAGCAAUCGAUCAAUGGCCAGUAAAAUCAGGAUUUGGGGUCUUGGUAUGAAUGAAUCCAAACAGGAAAGGUGAAGAGUAACUUAUUUUAAAGAAAAUUAUCAACAAUCAAUCAGAUCCUUUUGAAAAGGGACUCAUAGUCAAUGAAAGGCUGGUCAAAGGCCUUUUGAAAGAAGAGAAUUUGUCAUAUAAAAAGCAUACAGAGACAAGAGAGAGUUGUUGCAAAACUAGCACGAAAUCAGAGUAACCAAGAAGGUCAGGUUCACAGACUCAAAGUGAGUCUGAAAGAGAGUCAGGGUUCUGAAUGGAACCCUAGUUCAAACAGAAGGUUGGGCUUGCCAAAAAUCCCAAAUACUAGGGUUUCUGACUCGAAUCAGACACACAGACGAGAAAACAACAAAUAGAAUAGGCUCAAUAGUCUCUUUCAGUUAUGAGAGAACAAAAAAAAGAAAAACAUGUUUGAAAUACAGGGAAUACAUUUAGGUAAAGCUUGUCACUCAACAAGUUCAGAAGAGAGAAAGUGAUAUAGGCUUAAGAAAACAAUAGGUGAAACAUGCUUAGGAAGAGCUCGGUGAAAUCUGUUAAAGCAGGAAAACAUAAAGAACCUAGUAGGAGACACAUACAAUAGAAAUCAUGUAGGAAAAUAUAGUAGAGACAGUCAUGCGAGCUUAGUCUAAAGGCAGAGGAAAAUACAAAGCAUGGAUAAAGAAGUAGAAAAUCAAGUUCAUGCGUAGUAGAGAAGAAACACACAAGAUAAACACAGAUGAAACACACAUAAAGAAAGAGAAGAAGAAUCAGAAAGUUUUUUCCAGAAACCUUAGUUUUGAAAAUCAAAUAAUUUUAAAAAGAAAAUUGGGGAAAACCCUUGAAAUAUCGAAUAUAGCACAGAUAUAGCACAAAUCUAAGGAAAAACAAACAGAAAACUCUCGAAUGGCUUUUGGACUUCUCAAAACCCUAGAAAUGAGAAGGCUUGGAAAAGUUCUAAUCUGGAGUCGAUUUGAGCCACAGCUAGGCUCUUAAGGCUCGAAUACGUCGGAACGGGGCCGAAGAAGCCAUAGAACCUUAGAUCUGUGGAGGAUCUGCUCGAACACCAUCGAGGUCGGACCUCAAAAUCUUGAACAAACAUGGAUUAGGGGUGAAGGAGGGUGAGCACAGGCUGUACAUUGACUGAGAAGCCAUGUACUCCGGUGAGAUUGGUCGGAGAAGACGAAGGAGACGGUUAGGUUUUGAGUGUUUCAGAGCAUUUGAGAGAGUGAGAGUGAGAGAGUGUGAGGGCAG
rnacentral:lncRNA from 1 species